UUAGUAUAAACAGUAUAUAAAAUCCAUUCAUUCCUUGAUGUAGGUUGAGAGGUAUUCGGAUUUGCGCAAGGGACAUCAGCUACAUCACAUUGUACCACACAUCAACGGAACCGUCGGAACGCCGUUAAUGUAUUACGACAUCAAGCUGCUUGAUCAAGCGCCUUCCGACUAUGAAAAAACAUUGCUUGAACAAUACGCAACCAAACAUGGAGAAACCUAUAACGAAGGAUGGCUAAAUGAUAAGAUAAUAAACAAUUUUCUAAUCGAGUACAAAGAAAAUCUCAGGGUACCAAUCGUGUAGCAGUCAUGAGCAGCUUCAUGUACACAAAACUAUGCAAAUAUGGCGUCCAUUCCAUAACGAGAUGGAUUCAAAAAGGAUGGAUUCGUUUCUUCCACAAAAA